rnacentral:lncRNA from 1 species
GCUUCCGCCUCGGCCGACGCUCCAGCUGCCCCGGGUCGCCAAGCUCCGCUCCCCGCGCGCCCACCUCCCCGGCUCCCGCCCCGCGCUCACGCCCCCUGGUGGUCGGCCUGGCCCAGCCGCCCCGCGACGUCAGAGAGGCGGCGCUCCGAGCUCCUCUGCUUGGGAAACUGAGGCACCGGGACUCCGCUACAGCGGGGCAUUCAGCCCUCGGGGCUGCUCGGGCUAGGAGUAAGUUCCUCACCCCCACGCCACCAGUCAACUAGAAAAAAAGAACGUUCCCUUCAGAGAAGCCCAAUCCCAUUCCUGUUUGUGAUUCUGUCCUCUUUGCUCCCUUCAGGCAGUUUUCAUUACCCUGUCACACAAUACUCGCUGGUAUUCACUUCUGUCCAUUCCACUCUCUCCCUGUCACCCCGCUCCCACACCACCACCACCACCCCUCCAUCCCCACCAGGGAAAGUCUCAGUUCAGCUUUGAGAAUUUAAGAGCAAGGACCAAAGGAAUACAAGAAGUAGGCAGGGAUGAGAGAACACCCCCAUAUAUCUCUCGAAUCCCCCACGAGAUUUCUUCUUUGUGCAUAAAAGAUCACAGAUCACAAAGUCAUUUUGCUUGGCCAUAUUGUUUGAAUUGAUGUGUUGUAAGUUUCUGGGAUCUAGGAGAUUUUAAAGAAUGCAGCAGGUCUAUCACCAUGCAUGCAGAGCAGAGAUAAGCGUUUAUUUUAAAAAUUUCACUGGAUAUGUUAUUUCCCUUUCCUCUGCUUUUUUUAACCAUUAUGAAAUUUAUCACCCUAACCAUUUUUAAACUUGCAGUUCAGUGGCAUUAAAUGCAUUCACACCGAUGCAACCAUCAUCACCAUCCCUCUCCCAAAAAGAGAGCUUUUCAUCUUCCCAAAAGGAAACUGUCCCCAUUCCCUACCUCCUGAUAGUCACCCUUCUACUGUCUGUCUCCAUGAAUUUCACUAUUCUGGAUGCAUCACAUGAGUGGAAUCACACAAUACUUGUUCUUUCUUGUUAGGCUUAUUUCACUUAAAAUAAUGUCCUCACAGUUCAUCCAUGUUGUAGCAUGUGCCAGAAUGCUUUUUAAGACUGAAUAAUAUCCAUUGUUCCUAUAA